GGAAGGAUCAUUCUGAUUUGCUUAAUUGCACCACAUGUGUUUUUUAUUGAACAAAUUUCUUUGGUGGCGGGAGCAAUCCUACCGCCAGAGGUUAUAACUAAACCAAACUUUUUAUUUACAGUCAAACUUGAUUUAUUAUUACAAUAGUCAAAACUUUCAACAACGGAUCUCUUGGUUCUCGCAUCGAUGAAGAACGCAGCGAAAUGCGAUACGUAAUAUGAAUUGCAGAUAUUCGUGAAUCAUCGAAUCUUUGAACGCACAUUGCGCCCUUUGGUAUUCCAAAGGGCAUGCCUGUUUGAGCGUCAUUUCUCCCUCAAACCCCCGGGUUUGGUGUUGAGCAAUACGCUAGGUUUGUUUGAAAGAAUUUACGUGGAAACUUAUUUUAAGCGACUUAGGUUUAUCCAAAACGCUUAUUUUGCUAGUGGCCACCACAAUUUAUUUCAUAACUUUGACCUCUCAUCACGUAGGACUACCCGCUGAACUUAAGCAUAUC
rnacentral:rRNA from 1 species